UAAAAAUGUAAAUGAAUACCUAAUUAGUAAUAGUUAUGUUCUUUAAAAUUAAAGAUUUUGGCGGUAUUUUAGUCUUUUUAGAGGAACCUGUUCUAUAAUUGAUAUUCCACGAUUAAUUAAACUUAUUAUAUUAGUUUGUAUAUCAUUGUAGUUGAAUAUUUUAUAAGAAUUUCAAUAUUCAUAAAUUUAAAUUUUUUAAAAAAGAAAUCAAAUCAAGGUGCAGUUUAUUAAUAAGAAGAGAUGGGUUACAAUAAAGUUAUUUAUUUAUGGUUUAGGAAAUUAAAAUUUUUUAUUAAAGUGGAUUUAAAAGUAAUUUGAAUUAGUUUAUUUAAAUGAUUUUGGCUCUAAAAUAUGU
rnacentral:rRNA from 1 species